CGACGACGCCUCCAGACACGUCCUCUCUCUCUCUCGCGGUUUAACGUCGCCGUUGUUCAUCGCGCUUCGCCGCACCUGCUGCACGAAGCUUAAUUGUUGAUUCGAGUAUGGAUUUGGAGCCUCUGCUGAUAGGGAGGUGCUGGUUUUGGGGCUGGCGCCGUCUUCCGAGUACACAUUUUUGGUGUAUGCUUCUCCAGCUGGAAACUAUUUCAAGGAAGAGACUGUGCCGAUCAGCUUGUACGUUGAGGAUGAGUUCCAUCGCGCUGGCCGCGAUGGUUCUGGAGGUGUGAAGAGCGUCAUGAAUUAUGUGCCGGUAUGUAAGUGUUGCAUCUUUCUGCCAACUGUUUGAUGAAAGUUCUAAAUGAAGUUGGCUACUGAAAGUUCGUCAAAGUGUUUUUAUUUUUUUAUUUUUAUGAUUUUGAUAUCAAUUAAUUUCGUCCUACUUGUAAAAACAUGUUUCUUAGUAUGAAUUAUCGGAAUAAUGUUUUUGAUGCACGACUAAAUUUAACAAAUUUACAAAGUUCAUUUGAUAUUUAAUAGUAGUAAAUAAAUUAUAAGUGAGGUCAUGAACCGCUAGUAAUCAUGGAGAGCAAGAACUACCAAGCAAGCCACUAUGCCACUCAGGGCGAUGAGCAGACGUUGCUCCAGCGCCUGCAUCAAGAGCUUUACAAUCUCAAGUUUCUAAUCGUGGAUCGCGCACGCUUUGCCGGAUAAGGAGAACGACAGUCGGAUUCUUCUCACCACUAGGCUUCGGGAGGUCACUGAUAAAAUUUCUGAAAAUUCUAGUUUACUUCAUGAGAUGCAGCCGCUCGGGCUGGAGCACAGCUGGCAGUGGCUCUGUUAUCUUACCUUCGGUGAUAUGCUGAAAAAUGAUAAUGAUGAUGUUACAUUGCCCUGCCCUCCUCACUUGAACGAAAUUGGAAGAUCGAUCGCCGAGAAAUGUAAAGGUCUUCCUCUGUCACUGGUUGUGGUUGGUGGUCUUCUCAUUCAGGAGACAGAAAAGAUACUGCUGAUGCUGCUGCAAUGGGGGAAGGUUCCUACUUGGAGAUCUUGGCUAUAGAGCUACCUUUACUUGCCCGCUAGACUUCAAGGUUGUUUCCUUUACCUGGGUGCAUUCCCGGAAGAUUGUGAGUUACAUGCCUCUAAACUCAUCGAACUUUGGGUUGGUGAAGGCUUUUUCCUAAAACCUGGACUACCCACACAAACCAUGGACAACUAUUGUGGUUUCUGACUUUUGAACUUAGCAGUAUGUAAUAUAUAUGAAAUGUCAAUAAGUUCAACAACUUGUAUUGAAAUGUCAACAACGCAAAAACAAUUCUUAUAAUUAAAAAA